GAGGGAGGAGAGUUUCACUGUGUGGCUUCAAAUGAUCUGGGUCAACAAAAAUCCUCUGUGAUCCUUGUUGGUAUUAGAGAUGAUCAGGUGUUUGGAUUCACAUCUCAUAUUAUACUCAAGAUCCUGGGCAUUGUAUUGCUCUGCAUUUGCAUCAUCAGCUUUGAGUGCUGGUUCAGAUUCUCCAAGAAACCAAAAAAGGAAACAGAAGAACCAGCCUAUGUCAACAAUGUGAUGGCGACUACAGCAUCAUGAGCCUCAAGGAGACCAGAAAGAAGUCAAGGCCUCUGUCAGAGAGAGGAUUCAUUUCUAUCUCUCCAUUAAUCUGUCCAAUAGUCAAAGUUUCUGUCUCAAGAAGCUUAUUUCUAUCUGCAACCGCUGGAUUCACCCUGAAUGUGUCACCAGUCCAUCAUAUCACCAUUUAUUGUGCCUUAGAAAUCAUUUAUUUCUUGAUAAGUGGUUUACAAUCACUUAUCACGUGAUUAGAAAUCUUAACUAUGGUUUUACAAUUAAACUUGUUACUAAUGUAGUAAAUAGUAAUACUUUGGUGAAUCACUGAGUUAUAAAACAAAAAAAAAAUGUUACAAAAAUAACAUUCUAGGUUGUACAAGUGAAGCAGAAGUCUUGCUGAAUGUAACAUUUUUAUCAAUGAAAAGAAGACAGGUUUUUAAAAAUGAUAUUUCUGUUUAUUACUGCUAUAUAUUAUUUUUUUCACGGUUGUACAAGAUGUAAAAGGCAAAAAUGUGAAACGUAUAUAUUUUUUUCCAGUCUUGUAUUAUUUAAUUUCCACACAUGCACAUGUUGUCAUGAGUUGUGGUGGUGAGAAUGACCGCUGACUACCCAGGUUGUGAUGAUGAAUGUGGCUCAAAACAGUCCAGACCAGGCAGCACGGCAGAGACAGUAGCACACAGCUAAAUACUGGUAGCAACUGACAAAAGACUGAACACAGAGCAAGGUAGCCUCAGGACUAUCCAGUUCAACUGAGGACUGACUAAAGGCAACAACUGACAUAAGACGAGGACCCGACAAGAGACAAAGACAACAGAUGGGUUUAAAUACACAUGGAUGGUAAUCAGUAAAACUAGACACAGGUGGGAUCAAUCAUCAGGGAGGACAGGACAUCACAGAGGCUCACGGAAACAAGGACACAGA